AUGAAAUCAAAAGAAGAGUAUAGAAUGAUAUCUCCAAAAUUGUCCGAAAAAGAGCUCGUAUCGGAGAAUUCUUCGACGGCUGAAUCAGUACUAAUGCAUGUUUCAAAUGCACAAUCAACAACCGCAAUCUUUACCGAUGAAACGAUUACCAAAGUUACGGUUGCUGGUGGUUCAAAGAUCGAUCGCAUUCUUGAAGUAGAGUCAGUUGUUCAUGAUGCAACUGACAAGACUAAUACCAAGGACUUGCACUCAGAGGGGGAAGUAAUAAAUGAGGAUGAAAACAUCACAAAUGCUAAGAUUUCAAGUGAACGCAGUACGGCUGCGGCGUCAUCCAUAGGGAAUCCUGCAGCUAUUGAAGUAAGUGAAACACUGGUCUCAGCUAAAAUAUCCUCUCAUGGAACAAACCUUGAGGAAUUACCGAGUUUAGACUCAAAGUCUGAAUCUAAAUCUGAUGAUUUAUCUGGUAAUUAUGACGGAACUCUUUCAGCAAAGCCUUACUUUGAGACACGAGGAGCAGAAACUAUCAGUGAAAAACUAUCCGAAGUUAUGAGUUUUGAGGAGAAUGUCCUCUCCAAAUUAGAAACAGCCGUGAGGCAAACGCAUGAUACCAGUGAAACAAAUGAAGUUUUGUCCAGCAUCAUAAGUAUUGAGGAAUCACUCAAAACAAUUAAUGAAACCCUAGAAUCCGUGCCAAGCGAUCAGCAACGGCUCGAUACGAAAUUUCAUGAUGUCUGCAGGUCUGCAGAUAGUAUAGUCUUUACGACAACAUCUGAAGAUGUUUCCUCAAGGAUAUCCAAGGCGGAAACUCUCGCCGAACUUCCGAUGCAAAAACUCUCAGCAUCAGCUUUGUGUACUGAAAACCGGAUAGAGUCUAAUAAGAUGGAAGUUGAAGACAUAAUGAUUAAAAAAGAAAUUCAUGUUUCCAUUGAUGAACGUGCUGAAGAUGAAAGGGAAUCCUUCCCAGAAUUUAAAUUGGAUCAAGAUACUAAAACAUUGAUUAAUGAUAUUAUGUCAAGUGAAAGCCAUGCCUCUGUACCUACAGUCAGCUCUCCUUCGCUCACGUAUGAAAGUAGAGAUGAAGUCGUCGAAGAGGUAAUUGUUCCAAAAAAAGUUGUGCCGACCAUGGAACGCCUUGAAGUAGACGGUUUCACGGGUUCCGAGUUCGACUCUCCCAGCGUGCGUGUAUCUAGCACUAUAUUCGAUGAUGUGGAUGCACAUCGCGAAUCACAUUCUGAUGUGGAAUUUGAAAGUAAAUGCACGUAUAUUAAUGCUACUUCUGCCAACGCUGACUCUCAUGUUGAAGUGAAUAAUGGCAACCAAACGAUAGACUCCUACUCUACCGAUGAACGUGUGAUAAUUACUGCCAAAAAUGACACGCGCACACAUUUAACUCAGAAUAUUAUCUCCGAAAAUGACAAAAACCCAUCGGAAGACAUUUCGGUGGAAGAACCACGCACGUCUCAAGGUCUAGAUUUGCCGCUCUCAGCAGCCAGUGACUCCAAGAGCACUGAAAAUGUGCCCUUUGAAACGGAAUCAUCGUGCACAUUAUCUUUGGAAAGUGGUCUUUUGUCUGAAACUAUUCAUCAAAUCGCAAGCACAACAUUGGCACAACAUGCUUCUCCCUCAGUAUCUACCUCUGGAGCACUACUUGAUAGUGCCUUUGAUAAGAAAUUAACAUUUAAUCACGCACAUGCUGAUUCCAGCCCCACAGUACCCUCAGAAACUCGACUGCCCUCCAAACAUAACUGUCAACUGCCUGAGAGUUCUUUUGAGGACAGUUUAACGUCCAAAGUAGCAAUCAGCUCACCGGCAGAUAUGCAAGACUCGAUAUCUGAAAGACAAUUACUCAUUAAGAUCUCGGAAACGCAAGUAGUAAAUCAAUCAACGAAUGAAACUAUGGAGCAGUCAAUAGUAAAUUCCAAAUCUGAAGGAAAAUUACUCACGGCUGCCAUUUCGUCCAAUGAUAAUAAUGUAGAAGUAAGCGUUGAGCAUUCUGUGGAAGCACAGCCUCAAACAGAUGGUACGUCUAAUAUCUCCCCAGCCUCAGAAUCUCAAUCCCUCUCUAAAUCAGCAAAGGUGCUAGAAAUUUCUCAAAUUGCUUUAUCAACUGAAUCAUCAGACUCUCAACAAUCAUAUGAUAUUUCAGAAAACUUGACGAAUAUUCAAGAUAUGGACGAUAAAGAUUUGCCCCCGCAUCCAGGUGCAGAUAAACCAGGGCAACCGUUGAAUUUUUCAUAUCACCCUAUUGAGGUAUUAGCAGAUGCAGAAGCGAGCAAAACAACCGUUAUUCCUCCUUCGGGUCUUUCGCUAAGCAGCGAAACUGAUAAUGAGACGGUUGUUUCAGCAGCUGAACACGUUAGUGAAGCUUCUAAAAUAUCACGCGACUUCUCAUCUGAACUAGGCCAGACUACAUCACAGAAUCUUGGUGAAGCAACCCAGAUCAUCGAAGAAUUAAAUAAAGAUGAAGUUGUAAGUACAUCGUCUGUUGAACCCUUUCAAAAAGAAAUUACCAAUGUGGAUUUUACGAUGGAGGGAAGUAUUAUUGAACCAAGCUCACGCUUACAUGUAGCAACGGCACCAAUUGAACCAAAAGGAAUUAAUUCCACCCCUUUGCAAAACGAGCCGUAUCUCGUCGGAGCGCCUGUCAAACCUGCUGUCGUGCUGACUUCCGACGUUAGCUCUCAGAAACUAACUGAAAAAUUGAAACAACAGGCUCCUGAGGUGGAAGAAAAAAAUGCUGACAUUGCUUCAUCCACAAAUAUUGAAUUCCCAACAGAAACUGAAGAUCUCGCAACACUUACCCACCAAAGUUCUCAGACAAUCAGUGUUUCGCAUCGUAUGACCAGUGAGUCUCUCGAAAAGCAUGAUGAGUCACAUGAAAGUCCACUCAGUAAGUCUACACCUGAAUUUUCUGUGCAAGGUAUUUCAUCUAUCGCACAGUUAAACCAAGCCACCGCAGAUUUUUCAGAAGGAAGUGGCAUGGUCCCUGUUGCUGAUAAAUCUAGUUCGUCAUCCCUUUUGUCGAGCGGAGAUGUGAAUAAUCAAGAACUCGAGUCCGCAAAAGAAGGAGCCAAUUCUACUACUAUGACGGGAAUUGAUGAGCAUCUUGAUCGACGAAUCGUCAGUUCUUUCAAACCAGACAACGAAGAACCUUUAUCCCCAGGAAAAGAGCCUUUGAACAUCUCUUCAUCGCCCAAAUCUCAAAAAGAAUCAGAAAAUGAUGAAAUUUUGCUUGAAGGGCAUUCAAUUUUGACAACCGCUUCAGAAGGAAAUCUAAAUGUAAAGUACAAUACGACUUUUGAUGAGGGAGAUCCAACAAUUGGAAACUUCACAGGCUACUCAAAGUUAACGCGUGCAGAAAAAGACGUUCCCAUGGCUACGCCUGAUAUGCGUAUGCGUGAGGGGCCCAAAUUUCAAAAGACAAAGAGGGUACAAAAUCUACAGAGGUUGUGUCCGUCAUCGAAGAAAUCAACUCAAAGUCCUCAAACUCUAGGUCGUCAACCCAAGAGUCUGGAGGGAGCUUAUUUGAAAAGGUUCCAGAUCAUGCUGAGGUUGACAUUCAGCAGUUAG
rnacentral:lncRNA from 1 species